UACAGAGGGUGCUAGCGUUGUUCGGAAUCAUUGGGCGUAAAGGGCGUGUAGGCGGUUUGUUAAGUCAUGUGUGAAAUCCCUCGGCUCAACCGGGGAACGACGCAUGAAACUGGCAAGCUAGAGUACCAAAGAGGGGGGUGGAAUUCCCGGUGUAGCAGUGAAAUGCGUAGAUAUCAAGUGGAACACCAGUGGCGAAGGCGAGUCUCUGGAUAUUUCCUGACGCUGAGGCACGAAAGCCAGGGGAGCAAACGGG
rnacentral:rRNA from 1 species